UUCAUGGAGACGAAGACACAAUGCGUUAUACAUACCGCGGAUUCAUUCAUUUAUUAGAAAACAGAAGAACGUUUUGAUGGCCACGUUGAACGCUGUAACACGGAGUCGUUCUUCUAUUAUCACAAUUAUUACCAUUUUUACAAGACCAUCCUCAAUCCUGAUGUUUUUGCCUGAAAUCAAACGUUUUGUUUGAUAACUGCCUCCACGCAUAAACUCAUUACCUCGAAGACCAAAGGGCGACGUCUUCGAGGUAUUAUUCAAGAUUUUGCCGCAUGAUUUGAUGUGACUGAAUAUAAAUCAAGAUGGCGAAGUUCACGUGUCGACUUGAAAAGUGGCCUGCGUUGCUGCUCAUUACAGUUGUUUGUGUGGCAUCGGCGGCCUUGUUCGUUUUCUCCGACGUUACCGUACACACUGACGACAUCAAUCUUCAGAAGAGCACCUUCAAUCAUGCAACAAGCCAGAAAGUAAAAGGUAUG